AUAGCGCGAGGAUAAGUUCGUAACUAACUAAUACCUAUGAGUUGUGCUUGUGGCCGCCAAAACCUAGAAACGAAACGAAGCCCAUAACUCGUCACCCCGCAAAAGCCCUAAGCAGAACAUCUACUCUCUUUCUCUUGUGUUUCCUGAACUCUGCAACUCGGUUGUUAGGCAGUGACCAGACUGCGAUAAUGUCUCGGGGAGAAGGAGGAGGAGGACAGAGUUCAGUAAUUCCAGAAGGAGUAAUGGAGGCAGUGAAUAGAAGCCUAGUAAACGUGGAAGAGUUGAGAAUCCACUUGCUGGAAUUCUUGUCCAUCUCCGAGCCAGACGUUCUUGUUGAGAUGCCCCCUCUUCGACGCGCUCAAGCGCUCCUCCUGCUCGCUAAAGCCACUUUGACUCUCUUCACAUUACGUUUGAGGUGUAGUGGAGUUCAUCCAGACGACCAUCCUGUUAAGACAGAGCUUGAGAGACUAAGCUUAUACCAGGACAAACUACAACGGUUUGUGGACUUGAGCAAAGAACCUCUGCGGCCUUCUACUACAUUAAACACUCGAGCAGCCACUCGUUUUAUUGAGCAUUCUUUACCUGAUCUUACGCCGGAGCAGAGGCAAAGUAUGAGGGAUGUCAGUAGAGGAGAGGGGGUAAGGAAUAAGUUUCAAGAAAAGAGGAGUGCCCACAAGAAGAGGAAAUUUCAGUCUUCUGAUAAACAAUCUGUUCAGACUGCUGCCCAAGAAUUCUUGGAGAAAGCAGCACGGGAGAUUCUUGGUGAAAAUAAAGGUGAUUUUAAGGGGCCUCUUAGGAUCGAGAGCUCAGAUGGAGAGGACAUGCCGUUGUCUUGAUUCUCGUUUUGUUUAUCCAGGUCAGGAAUUUAUUGCAAGGAGAAGUUAGGACUUAGGAGUUGACAAGAUGAAAAAAAUGCAUGUUACAGAAACAAAGGAAUUAAAAUAGCUGAGUUCUCAGCCCUGCAGGAACACUCCAGAGGAUGGCAACUGAGUAGAAAAAUGAAAUCCUGGUGAUUCUCAAAAGUCUAAACUUGAAUAUCAUUCCCAGUAACAAGACAAUCACCUUGUUGGCCGGCCUAGGUCCCAUUGGAAUGAGCUGUUUGAUCUGUAUGUUUAGGAUUUCACUUCUGCUUUUCCUUUGUCAUCGUCCAAGAUCAAACUUCCUCAACACCUCUUUUAUGUAGCCUAUGGAUACAGAUAUUCUAGUCUUGUAUCAAGGAUGAAUGCUUGAAAUUUGCUGAAUAACCUACACCAGGAGUGUGCUGCAUGUU